rnacentral:rRNA from 1 species
AGUGAACGCUGGCGGCAGGCCUAAUACAUGCAAGUCGAACGGCAGCACAGCAGAGCUUGCUCUGUGGGUGGCGAGUGGCGGACGGGUGAGGAAUACAUGGGAAUCUGCCCAGUCGUGGGGGAUAACGUAGGGAAACUUACGCUAAUACCGCAUGCGCCCUUCGGGGAAAGCCGGGGACCUUCGGGCCUGGCGCGAUUGGAUGAGCCCAUGUCGGAUUAGCUAGUUGGCGGGGUAAUGGCCCACCAAGGCGACGAUCCGUAGCUGGUCUGAGAGGAUGAUCAGCCACACUGGAACUGAGACACGGUCCAGACUCCUACGGGAGGCAGCAGUAGGGAAUAUUGGACAAUGGGCGCAAGCCUGAUCCAGCCAUGCCGCGUGAGUGAAGAAGGCCCUCGGGUUGUAAAGCUCUUUGUCCGGAAAGAAAAGACGCCGGGUUAAUACCCUGGUGUCCUGACGGUACCGGAAGAAUAAGCACCGGCUAACUUCGUGCCAGCAGCCGCGGUAAU